UUGGCCCAGCCAGGCCCUAGCAGUGCUGUUUCCCAUCAAGGGGCCGGGCGGGGCGGCUGCGGCUCCCUCCGGCCAGGGGUGAGGGUCUGAGUCAGCCCAAGUCAGGAGGCAAAUAACUGCACUUAAUGGUGUGAUCAGCGCUUGACCGACUCAGCCCCAGGCCCUGUGCACGGACUUUCUACAGAGUUACUCAAUCUCGUGAAAUAAGAACAAUCACGAACGCCCAUUUUAAAGGCGAGGAAGCCGAGACCCUCUUGGAGAGGUUACGCAACGUGCCCAAAGUUAGGAGGCUCCUGGGAAGCCUGCUGGUCUGAGUGCCGCGCCUGGGGCCACAGGGCUGCAGGCCUGGGCCCACCUGACUGCCCCGGUCACCCCCUGUGCCGCUGGAAUCAGGAGGGCUUCCUGCAGAGAAGGAGACCCCGCACACGUCACGCAGCUGCUCCCAGUUCUGCAACCCCCCUACCCCAGGCUGCUUUCCAUCUCCAUAGAGUCAUCUACCCUGAAUGCUUCAUUCUUCUCCUAGCAUGUGUUAGUAAAAUGGUUUUUAUUAUUAUUUAUUUGAGAGAGAGAGAGAAAAUGAUCGGGGUAGGGGCAGAGAGAGAAGCAGGCUCCCUGCUGAGCAGGAUCAUGACCUCAGCCAAAGGCAGACGCUUGACAGACUGAGCCACCCAGGCACCCUGGUAAAAUGAUUUUUAAAUGAUCUGUAUUACAACCAGAAAGGGAAAACAAGUAUUCAUUUCUACAGAUGGAAAGUAACCUUAAAAACAAUGAUCACAGGGCGCCUGGGUGGCUCCUUGGGUUAAAGCCUCUGCCUUCGGCUCAGGUCAUGAUCCCAGGAUUCUAGGAUCUAGCCCCACAUCGGGCUCUCUGCUCAGCAGGGAGCCUGCUUCCUCCUCUCUCUCUCUCUGUGUGUGUGCCUCUCUGCCUGCUUGUGACCUCUGUCUGCCAAAUAAAUAAAUAAAUAAUCUAAAAACAAACAAACAAACAAUGAUCACAAAACAGCAUGAUUAAAUUCUAGCAGGAUCCUGCGGCUGCCAAGGGAGGGCUCCGGGUGGAGGUCUGCUCUGCCUCGUCAAGGCAGGUGAGCGAGCUCGGAGGCAGACUUACAGCACCCACACGAGGCUCUCUCCGUGGGCUACUCAGAAGAAUCGAAGAGAAUUGCAAAGGGAAGGACAUCCUCCUUGGAGCCACCUGUUACCUAAUUCAUCUUGAAUUGGGGCUUCUGACAUUUCCACGGUAGACACGGGGUGUGCAGGGUUCGCGAGGGUGAGUUUCCCCAGCGCUCCCGCAGGUGGGUGAGAGGGGAGGACCCAUGACCCGGACCCUAAUGGGAAGCCAGUGCCCCAGCCCAGAUGUAAUCAAAGAUCCAUGCUAAUGAAUGUCUUCCUCUUUCCCAAGCCUUCCGCAUCCAUUAGGCGGCAUGGGGGACACUGGGUCAGUUCUUGGACUCUUGAUGUAUUUACUCAAGGCUAUGCCCACACCAUACUACCCUUUGUUGCAGGGUCUAAUGUCUGCCCCCAAAAAUCCUCCUUUUAGGUUUUCUUUUUCAGGACUGUCUUGCCCAUUUUGGCAAAUUUAGUUCUUCCUGGGACUUGGGAACAUACCCUUUGAACACAGAGGCCUGGAAAUGACAGACCCUGGGGGCACCUGGGUGGCUCAGUGGGUUAAGCCUCUGCCUUCGGCUCAGGUCAGGAUCCCAGGGUCCUGGGAUCGAGCCCCACAUGGGGCUCUCUGCUCUGCAGGGAGCCUGCUUCCUCCUCUCUCUCUCUCUGCCUGCCUCUCUGCCUGCUUGUGAUCUUAAGAUUUA